rnacentral:lncRNA from 1 species
GGACUCCUUGGGGUCCAUAUUUUGAAUAUUCAUCUCAUUUCCUACUGAGGCUAGGGGACCCAGUUGAUCUGCUGUCACCCAGUGACAAUACAGAGUUGGAGACUUAGAAAUCCUGCUUUUCUCUGUUGUGCUUGUUCCAUCAAAUAUGGCAGUUGACAGAUGACAGCUCAGUUUUCUCUAUGUCGACUUACAGGUUUCAUGGAUGUUUUUUGUUUGCUUAAAUGGUAUUAUAGUGGGAAAUGCUGUGCUUGGGAGCCAAGCAGCUCUGUGAUGGGAGCUGCUAAGUACUUGUUCUGACUCUCCUCCCCGACGUGUGCCUGGUUGGAUGGGGAGUCCCACCCAACCUCCCAGGACUGGUAUGAUUUCAAGAGCCCUGAACAUGCUUUAUAUCUGGCAUGCAGCCAGACCCGGCAACAGAGCAUUUUCAUUUCUUUGAUUAUUGACGUUACUGCUGUCAUUUUUAUUCCUAUAAAUGUGACAACCUUGACCCACGAUCAAAAGCAGAGAAUUUGUUUAAAUGUAGAAUGUGGUUCAAAGUGUCAACAAUUUUAAUCUGCGUGGCGAUUGCUAAAGAUAAGCGGGACUAUCUUAAAAAUCACUUGGGGGACUGUUAUUCCUUCACAGAGGUUAUUGUGAAUAUCUCUGUAUCUGUAUAUGUACAGCCACACAAGAAAUCCUCCUCCUCAUAAAAUAUUAUGUUAGCAUAGGCAGGAAAGGAAGAAGGUUGGAGACACAGGGUCCCUGGAGGGGAUAGGCUCAGAGUCUUUCCUUUCCGUGGCCCCUAUUUCGUAACUCUUGAUUUGGGGUUUGCCUCCUUCAUCCCCCAGGGCUGUCCUGGAAGCAUGCCAGGCACGAAGUAGAUCCUCCAGAAACUGUGUGCUGGUGUGUGCAAUCGCUGCAUUUAGUAAAUGUAUGACCAGAAAAGCAAUAAAAGGGAAUUGACAUAACCUAAGUUUGACUAAAUCACUGCCCUUAUUAGAAUGAGGAAAGUACCCUUCGGUAAGAUGCUGGUCAGAGUCCCAACAGAUGGUGCAUUUCCAACUCUGUUUUUUACUUUAUUGACCCUCAAGCCCAAACGGAAACACGAGGCACGCUUCUUUCCGAAUCCGUUAGAGCUGCUGAGCUCCUGCAGAAACAAGGUGGAUGGGCCUCAUGCUGGCUCAGUUACAUUAGCAGAGGGCCGCGCUGUGCCCUGGCGUGGGCUUCCCAGCUUCAGCUGGUCGUGGACCGGACCUCCCGAAGCUCCUCUUAGUGACAUCACUCACAUCUGUGGCGACUUAAGCCUCCUGUUUCUUUGAAAACGGAAUUUGAGAAUAUGAAGGGUUUAUACUCUCUAAACUAAUUAGCGGUGACCAGUAACUUGAGGAGGCCAGCGUGCCCUCCAGGACACUCAGUUUACCCGGGAGUCUCGCCGAGGCCAUAGAGCCAUUUCUGGCUACGCUACCAACCUCCGGGAGGGAAGAAAGGAGGCGGGGCCCGCUUUAAAAAUAGAGAGCUAAUUAAGUCUAGUCCUCUGGAGAUUUUUUUUUUUUUUUUUUUAAAUGCUGUGACCUGGCAAACAAAUGUAGCACCCGUUACUGGAAAACUGAAUUUUAAAAGAAAAGAUGGUGCUUUGCAGGAAGACGUUUAACCACACCAAGCAACUAGUGAGAUCGAUGCUUAAAAAAAAAAAAGACAGGAGUGGUUUUUCUUGCAAAAUUGUAACAUAUGAAAUACAUAUUUGUGACAUAAAUAUAUAUUGUGGUGCCUUCUGGUAUGGAACAAUCUUGAAAAUACAGUAAAUGAAGAAAUCAGGUUAUGGAAUUGUGGACAUGGUGUGUAACAAAAAAACAUUCAGGUAAGCAACGCAUCUAUACUUGUUUGCUUGCAAUUGCACGGAACCCCUCUGGAAGAAUACACCCGCAACGUAUAAAAGCUGUGAUUGUUAACAGCGCCUUUCUGAGCGAUAUUGGAGCUUGAGGCAAAAGGAGAAGUCAGGAGUACUGACCUUGUUUUUCAUUUAAAAUUUUGGUAUUUUUGUUCACCAUGGAUUUUUUUUCCAUUAAUUUUUUUUUCAUUUCUAUUAAUUGUUUUUAAUGUUGCCUUAAAACAGUAUUUAGCUUGAUGACUAGUUUGGGGGCACCCUCUCUAAGUUUCGUGCCCACGGUGAGUGAGGGGCCUCGUCUCCCUGGCCUCGGUUCUGCCUACCCUUUCAUACUGUUUGAUUUUAUUUGUACCACAUGCAAGUAUGGCUUAUUCAAAACUCGGGGGGGAAAUUACAGUUAGCCACAAGCAGUCUUUGGAACCCUUUGCAGUCGUGGUUCUUAAUCUUGUGGGGGUUAAAGAUCCCACAGAGAACGUGAUGAAAGCUGCAGCCCCUCUGCACAUAUAAACGACAUUCUGCAUUUAAUUUCCAGGGGCCCCACAGACCCCCUUGACCUCCAUUCAAGACUUUUAAAGAAUACUACUCCAAUUAGAGAGAUGACCAAGAGGCCAAACUUCCUCUUUCAACGAGUGUUCUGAUCUUCCCUACAUCUUCCUACCAGCAGAGAAAACGAAAUGUCUUCUUUCUAUUUUCCACUCCCUUUUAGCUGUUUCUUAAGUGAUGAGGUACACAUGGUCUGGUGUAGGGACAAAUGACAUCUUAUUUGCGCCCCAACUAAUCUUCACUGCUUUUGUGGUUAUUGGCAAGGCCUCCCGGGAUCUGAAUAAUUCUUCGCCCCCCCAAACCCCCCCCCAGCAAGAUGCUGUGUCCUGAGCGAGGCUCCAUCCUAAAACGGACUUACUGGAAACGUCUGUCACGUUGGAUUGCAAGACAAGAGGAACAAAGCUCUGACGUGGCUUCUCUAACUCAGCACCAUUUGCCUUUUGAGAUGGUACUUUGUUGUGGUGGGGCUGUGCGUUGUAGGCUGUUUAACAGCAUUCCUGACCCAGUAGAUGCCAGCGAUACCCCCCCCCCAAGGGUGACAACCAGAAAUGUCACCAGACAGUGCCAAGUGUCCCCUAGGGGAUAAAAUCACCCCCUGCCUGAGUACCGCGGGGCUGGACUAUGAAGGUCAUCUGAAGAUUCCGUGACGGUUUUCCAGUUUUUCUUUCCAACUUUUGCUGGAUGUUUGCAUUUCCUAUAGUACCAAUUAAUGCAUUGGGUAAACAACACAAACGGAUUACUUACAAGUGCCUAGAAAUGUUAAUCCUGCAGUUCUGCCCUUCUUAUAAUAGGUCCUGUUGCUGUUUAUGAAAUCCCAGCUGGGGAAGGUUCAUAAGGACCUUCCCUCCCUCAACUGGACUCUCCUCCUCCCAAAAUAUCCUCUCCCGCCUAACCUCAGGAAGUCAAAACACGACUGUUUACCGGUUACGAGUGACUAGCUAAAGUCAUCCCACUCUUUAUGACUCCCAGCUUUACUUCCCAAGAGUGUUUUGACCCCGCCCUAGAGAGUAGUAUUUUCUGCUCGAGUGUAAUUAAAAUCCCAGUCAUCUGUUCAAGAACCAUCACCAGUAAAGUAUUAAUUGUCUCUUGGAGCUUGAAAGUAUUCUUCUUAACAGGACUUAAUGGAGCGUACAGAUCCAAGGGACAUUCAUAAUCGUUGUCCCCUCCGGAAAUAUGACACGGGGGAGGUGGAUCAUUCACUUUCACUGUUUUAGGAUUUAAUGGAGGGUGAAGUUUUUAAUCUACUUGUUGGGAGCUUAAUAUUUCCAAGAGACAAGACUCCUUACGGUCUCAACAGCCAGACAGAAGUCUCUUUUUAUUUAUUUAUUCUUUUCAUUGAGUUUAAAGACUCCCUUUGCGUUUGCCUGUGGGGAUUUAUUUGUCAUUAUAUUAAUUCUUGUUCGCUUUUUCCACUCUUAAUGACCGAAUAUGCAGC